GGGCCGCUAGCUCAAUUGGAAGAGCAACAGACUCUUAAUCUGUAGGUUCUAGGUUCGAUCCCUAGGCGGCUCACUA
rnacentral:tRNA from 1 species